CUCGGACCAGGCUUCAAUCCC
rnacentral:miRNA from 1 species